UUACCACUCCCGCCCACCCCAUGGAACCCCCUCUGAGCCCUUACGCCUCGGCAGGUGGGGGUGAGGAGCUUAAGUAUAGGUCUCUACCCAAGAUUUGCACCAAGUCAUGUCAGUCACUGGUGUACAUCCUUGUAACUGACACACACAUCAAGGUCUUUCCUCUACAUCUUCCUGUCUCAAGAUGAGAACGCUUGAUAGUGGUUAAUUAUUCUCUUAUGUUACGUGUUUACUGGAGAGUGUGAUAACACAUGAAAUAGUACGUAACAUCUACGUCAGCCAAAAGCAUAAGGACUGCCUGUCUACCCAACCAGCAUA
rnacentral:lncRNA from 1 species